rnacentral:lncRNA from 10 species
UCAGGCUGAACAUUUUGAUGUAAUCCCACCACUGUUGCUGUAGCUAUCUAAGCUCAAGGAUUUAUUAGUUGUGAACGUUCAUUUUUGUUUUUACUGGUCCGCUGCCAGUAAAUAAGUCACCCAAACCAUGGCUGAGUGUCAUUUGAUAGGAAAAGGCUGGGAUCACAAGGAAGCCUUCUGUCUUUCAACCAAAAAAAAAAAAAUGCUGAGGUAAGCAGUGUCAAACCCAGCUGCAUCAACAUGAUGGUGGGGAGACAAAUGAGAGCUUUCACUGCUGGAUAUGGGCACUAGAGAGCAAAGGGCUCUGAAAAACCUCCUCCAGCCCAGAAACAGUUGAAGUCGUGGAACCUGCAAAGGACUGUUUUUUCAAACUACUAGCUUCGAUAAGGAAAAAUUCUCUGUCCAACUCGUCCUCUCCAGCUCAUAAACACAGCUCAUCUGAAAGCCUUAAACAAACGAACUAUGUAAUAAUCUGGAUUACCAGGUUCACAUUUCAAAGUACUGGAUUCAUUAGAGUUCUGCAGAGGAACAUGGUGGCAUAAGAGAGUGGACCUGAACCCCCAUUCUAUUCAGGGCUCCAUCCUGCAACAUGAGGGGCCUCAUGCACCAGCAGACGCUCUACUCAGUACUUCCAAGCUCUGUUUACUACCUUCCUUCACACACACUGUAACCCCUGCUCCUCGGCCUCCUCCGGUGGCAGGUCUUGGUGGCAUAUUCCAGUUCACUACCAGUGGGAAGUAUCUCAGAAGCUUGGUCACUGGAAAAAUCAAGAUACCCACCCUGACAGUAGGAUUAACUUGGCUCAUCUCAAUUAUUCAGAAAUAAGGGAAAGGAGUUGCAUAUUCUUUUUUCUUUGCUGUAAAAAGAUGACUUUCAUGUCUAUUUCCCAGCAUGUUAUUUCAAUUGGAGGUCAGUAAUAUCUGCUGGCCUUCCUAGAUGCCAAACAUUCAGGUCUUUGUUUUGUCCUGGUUCAGUCACUCCUCCCUAUGUCCAAAGUAGAGGCAUCCCAUGCAUUCCUAGAAGCCUAUUUCUUAUCUACUUCCUUUCCCAAGGCCUCUGGCAGCUUUGCACAGUGGCUAGAGCAUCUCAUGCAGUUCCUGAUAUUGUUCCAUGUUCCUUUUCAGAAGGCAGUGGCAAGCAAGAGAUCUGUUGUUAUUAAAGGUUCACAGUUGGGGGGCGGGGAAUGACUCACAAACAAGGGAGAGUCUUUCUUACUGAAAUGCUCUUAAAGGCCUUGUCUACUUAUAAAUACAAAGACAUUGUUCUCUUCAUCAUCAUAGUUUUAGCACCUAACAUCUUGCCUACCACAUAGUUGACAAUUGAUAAAAAUUGUCGAAGAAAUGCAGGAGAUCUGGUGCUCUGUCUUCCAAGAAGGCAUCCUUGGCCCACUCAGUGGGAAUGAUCACUUUCUCCUCUGUGCCCCACUGCACUAUGCAACCUCCUUCUCUUGUUCAACUUAUCUUAGUGAAUGGCACUGAUUUUUCUAAUGUAGAUUUCUCUUUCUUUGUGAUUCCUUGAUAGCAAGGUCUAUCUUACAUGUUUUAAUACCUCUAAUACCAAGUACAAAAAACAUUUAAUGAAACAGCUCUGUGAAACUGUUACACAUACCUUCUACAAUUAUAUCAUUAGGAAUAUUAUUUAUUACAUUUCAUUGAGUCCUUUUUAGGAGAUUUGUCCAGAAAUUUCUCGCUUGUAAUUAUAUUCAGAAUACAUGUGUUUGUCUUAGACAAUGUUUUUUGCUUCCAUCUCAUGACCACUAAAUUUUGAGUCUACUGAAAUGUCUAGUUACAAUCGGACCCAUUCAUAGUAAGGAUUCAAUGUCAAAGGACAUAACUUAAGGUAAUAAAAGCCGUUUAUGACAAACCCACAGCCAACAUUAUAUUGAAUGGGGAAAAGUUGAAAGCAUUCCCCCUGAGAACUGGAACAAGACAAGGAUGCCCACUUUCACCACUUCUAUUCAACAUAUUACUGGAAAUCCUAGCCAGAGCAAUCAGAUAAGAGAAAGAAAUCAAGGGCAUCCAAGUCAGAAAAGAGGAAGUCAGACUGUCACUGUUGGCUGUUGAUAUGAUCAUAUACCUAGAGAACCCUAAAAACUCAUCCAAAAAGCUCCUAGAACUAGUAAAUGAGUUCAGCAAAGUUUCAGGACACAAAAUUAAUGGACACAAAUCAGUAUCUCUGCUAUACACCAACAGCAACCAAGCUGAAAAUCAAACCAAGAACCCAGUCCCUUUUACAAUAGCUGCAAAAACAGAAACAAAAACUUAGGAAUAUACCUAACCAAGGAGGUGAAAGACCUCUACAAGGAAAACUACAAAACACUGCUGAAAGAAAUCAUAGAUGACACAAACAAAUGGAAACACAUCCCAUGCUCAUGGAUGGGUAGAAUCAAUAUUUUGAAAAUGACCGUACUGCCAAAAGCAAUCUACAAUUUCAAUGCAAUUCCUAUCAAAAUACCACCAUCAUUCUUCAAAGAACUAGAAAAACAAUGCUAAAAUUUAUAUGGAACCAAAAAAGAGCCUGCAUAGCCAAAGUAAGACUAAGCAAAAAGAACAAAUCUGGGGCAUCACAUUACCUGACUUUAAACUAUACUAUAAGAUCAACAAAACAGCAUGGUACUAGUAUAAAAAUAUGCACAUAGACCAAUGGAACAGAAUUGAGUACCCAGAAAUAAAGCCAAAUACUUACAGCCAACUGGUCUUUGACAAAACAAACAAAAACAUAAAGUGGGGAAAAGACAACCUAUUCAACAAAUGGUGCUGGGAUCAUUGGCAAGCCACAUGUAGGAGCAUGAAACUGGAUCCUCAUAUCUCACCUUAUACAGAGAUCAAUUCAAGAUGGAUCAAAGACUUAAAUCUAAGACCUGAAACGAUAAAAAUUCUAGAAGAUAACAAUGGAAAAACUCUUCUAGGCACUGGCUUGGGCAAAGACUUCAUGACCAAGAACCCAAAAGCAAAUGUAACAAAAACAAAGAUAAAUAGAUGAGACUUAAUUAAACUUAAAGGCUUCUGCCUAGCAAAAGAAAUAAUCAGCAGAGUUAACAGACAACCCACAGAGUGGGAGAAAAUCUUCACAAUCUAUACAUUUGACAAAGGACUAAUAUCCAGAAUCUAUAAAUAACUCAAACAAAUCGGCAAGAAGAAAACACACAAUCCCAUGAAGAAGUGGGCUAAGGACAUGAAUAGACAAUUCUCAAAAGCAGAUAUACAAAUAGCCAUAAGCAUAUGGAAAAAUGUUCAACAUCAUUAAUUAUCAGGGAAAUGCAAAUCAAAACCAAAAUGAGAUACCACCUUACUCCUGCAAGAAUAGCCAUAAUCAAAAAAUAAAUAAAUAAAUAAAAAUACAGAUGUUCCCAUGGAUGUGGUGAAAAGGGAACACUUUUACACUGUUGGUGGGAAUGUAAACUAGUACAACCACUGUAGAAGACAAUGUGAAUAUUCUUUAAAGAACUAAAAGUAGAUGUGAAUAUUCCUUAAAAAACUAAAAAUAGAUCUACCAUUUGAUCCAGCAAUCCCACUACUAGGUAUCUACCCAGAGGAAAAAAGAAGUCAUUUUACAAAAAAAAUACUUGCACCCAUGUUUAUAACAGUACAAUUUGCAAUUGCAAAAAUAUGGAACCAGCCCAAAUGCCCAUCACUCAACGAAUGAAGAAAAUUAUAUAUAUACACACACACACAUACACACACACACAAUGGAAUACUACUCAGACAUAAAAAGGAACUAAAUAAUGGCAUUUAUAGCGACCUGGGUUGAAUUGGAGACUAUUAUUCUAAAUGAAGUAACACGAAUGGAAAACCAAACAUUGUAUGUUCUCACUCAUAAGUGGGAGCUAAGCUAUGAGGACACAAAGG